rnacentral:rRNA from 1 species
UUUCCAACAACUAACAACUCAGAAUGCUGGGCAAUAGGACGUUUAAAGUGGCUCCUUACACCUUACAAAGGAAUGGCUGAUGAGAAACAACUCGAUCCGCUCAGCGUUCUAUUGGAAUGCAACGGACGUGAUUGCAAGCUUUUGUUUUGAGUUGCGGUUUUACUGAAAGACUCUACAAUCCGCAAACUUCAAUGAUCUGAAGUAGAAAACCUACAUGCUACAGUGAGAUAUUGUGGAUAAACUUAAGCGACCGCUCCAACAUUGUGUUUUUUUAAAACUGAUGAAGGUUGCGGCAAUAACAGGUCUGUGAUGCCCUUCGAUGUCCUGGGCUGCACACGUGCUACAAUGGCUAGCGCAGUGAG